AGAGUUUGAUCAUGGCUCAGGACGAACGCUGGCGGCGUGCCUAACACAUGCAAGUCGAGCGAGGUCCAUCCAGUCGCAAGACUGGUGAAGACCUAGCGGCGAACGGGUGAGUAACACGUGAGAAACCUGCCCCGGAGACCGGGAUAACUCGAGGAAACUCGAGCUAAUACCGGAUACCCCCAUUCCAUCGCAUGUUGGAAUGAGGAAAUGCUCCGACGCUCCGGGAGGGUCUCGCGGCCUAUCAGGUAGUUGGUGAGGUAACGGCUCACCAAGCCGAAGACGGGUAGCUGGUCUGAGAGGACGAUCAGCCACACUGGGACUGAGACACGGCCCAGACUCCUACGGGAGGCAGCAGUGGGGAAUCUUGCGCAAUGGGCGAAAGCCUGACGCAGCAACGCCGCGUGCGGGAUGACGGCUUUCGGGUUGUAAACCGCUUUCAGGAGGGACGAAAAUGACGGUACCUCCAGAAGAAGCCCCGGCCAACUACGUGCCAGCAGCCGCGGUAACACGUAGGGGGCGAGCGUUGUCCGGAUUUAUUGGGCGUAAAGAGCUCGUAGGCGGUUCGGCAAGUCGGGUGUGAAAUUUCGAGGCUCAACCUCGAAACGCCACUCGAUACUGCUGUGACUGGAGUCCGGUAGAGGAGUGCGGAAUUCCUGGUGUAGCGGUGAAAUGCGCAGAUAUCAGGAGGAACACCAACGGCGAAGGCAGCACUCUGGGCCGGUACUGACGCUGAGGAGCGAAAGCGUGGGGAGCAAACAGGAUUAGAUACCCUAGUAGUCC
rnacentral:rRNA from 1 species